UUUGAAAAGUACAGGGACUAU
rnacentral:miRNA from 1 species